CUGUAAUAACUCUAGAGCUAAUACAUGCCUCGAUGCCCUGACCCUGCUCAUGUUUGCCUUGCUUGCAUGUGGUGGGGGAUGGGUGCACUUAUUAAAUCAAAACCCAACCAACUGUGCGUGUGCGGCCCACCGCAAGGGGGACGUCCCGGGCGUUGAAACCCUCACUUCUGGGGACUCUGGAUAAUUGUUACAAAUCCCAGUCGGCGUUGAGUCGGCAACGGGUCCUUCAAAUGUCUGCCCUAUCAACUUUCAAUGGUAGGUGACCUGCCUACCAUGGGGGUAACGGGUAACGGGGAAUGAGGGUUCAAUUCCGGAAAGGGAGCCUGAAAAACGGCUACCACUUCCAAGGGAGGCAGCAGGCGCGCAAAUUACCCACUCCCAGCACGGGGAGGUGGUGACAAAAAAUACCGAUGCGGGACUCCUUCAAAAGGCUCCGUAAUCGGAAUGAGUGGACUCUAAACCCCUUCACAAGGAUCAAUUGGAGGGCAAGUCUGGUGCCACCAGCCGCGGUAACUCCAGCUCCAAUAGCGUAUAUUAAAGUUGCUGCAGUUAAAAAGCUCGUAGUUGGAUCUCGGUGGCAUUGUUGCCUGUUGGUGAUUGAGCGGCCGGUGUGUGGUUAUCGGUGCGCGGUUGCCUCGGCGCCUGCAUGUUGGUGGGCCGGUCAGUAGUUGGGCUGGUAGGUUGGCGUUUGUUGCAUUAGGGUGGUUGGUUGGUUA
rnacentral:rRNA from 1 species